GCGGAUGUGUCGUAAUUGGUAGCCGAGCCAGACUUAGGAUCUGGUGCCGAGAGGCGUGUGGGUUCGAGUCCCUCCAUCCGCA
rnacentral:tRNA from 1 species